UACGGAGGGUGCGAGCGUUGUCCGGAUUUAUUGGGUUUAAAGGGUGCGUAGGCGGCCUCUUAAGUCCGGGGUGAAAGCCCGUUGCUCAACAACGGAACUGCCCUGGAUACUGGCAGUCUUGAGUCCAGACGAGGGUGGCGGAAUGGACGAAGUAGCGGUGAAAUGCAUAGAUACCGUCCAGAACCCCGAUUGCGCAGGCAGCUGCCUAGACUGGAACUGACGCUGAGGCACGACAGCGUGGGUAGCGAACAGG
rnacentral:rRNA from 1 species